GAGUUUGAUCCUGGCUCAGAACGAACGCUGGCGGCAUGCCUAACACAUGCAAGUCGAACGAAGGCUUCGGCCUUAGUGGCGCACGGGUGAGUAACACGUGGGAACCUGCCUUUCGGUUCGGGAUAACGUCUGGAAACGGACGCUAACACCGGAUACGUCCUUCGGGAGAAAGUUUACGCCGAGAGAGGGGCCCGCGUCCGAUUAGGUAGUUGGUGGGGUAAUGGCCCACCAAGCCGACGAUCGGUAGCUGGUCUGAGAGGAUGAUCAGCCACACUGGGACUGAGACACGGCCCAGACUCCUACGGGAGGCAGCAGUGGGGAAUAUUGGACAAUGGGGGCAACCCUGAUCCAGCAAUGCCGCGUGAGUGAUGAAGGCCUUAGGGUUGUAAAGCUCUUUCGCACGCGACGAUGAUGACGGUAGCGUGAGAAGAAGCCCCGGCUAACUUCGUGCCAGCAGCCGCGGUAAUACGAAGGGGGCGAGCGUUGUUC
rnacentral:ncRNA from 1 species